rnacentral:rRNA from 1 species
AUGAACGCUGGCGGCGUGCCUAAUACAUGCAAGUCGAGCGAACAGACGAGGAGCUUUCUCCUCUGACGUUAGCGGCGGACGGGUGAGUAACACGUGGAGAACCUACCUAUAAGACUGGGAUAACUUCGGGAAACCGGAGCUAAUACCGGAUAAUAUAUUGCACCGCAUGGUUCAAUAGUGAAAGACGGUUUUGCUGUCACUUAUAGAUGGAUCCGCGCCGCAUUAGCUAGUUGGUAAGGUAACGGCUUACCAAGGCAACGAUGCGUAGCCGACCUGAGAGGGCGAUCGGCCACACUGGAACUGAGACACGGUCCAGACUCCUACGGGAGGCAGCAGUAGGGAAUCUUCCGCAAUGGGCGAAAGCCUGACGGAGCAACGCCGCGUGAGUGAUGAAGGUCUUCGGAUCGUAAAAUUCUGUUAUUAGGGAAGAACAAAUGUGUAAGUAACUAUGCACGUCUUGACGGUACCUAAUCAGAAAGCCACGGCUAACUACGUG